rfam:Ovis aries breed Texel chromosome 3, whole genome shotgun sequence.
AGCUUUUUGCAGUGGCAGUAUUGUAACCAAUGAGGUUUAUCCGAGGCACAAUUAUCAUUAAUUGAAGAAAAUAAAUAAAUAA